rnacentral:tRNA from 1 species
CGGGCUGUUACGGGCGGGAGCUGACUGUAAAUCAGCCGCCUUAUGGCUUCGCAGGUUCGAGUCCUGCCUCCCCCACCA